AAUCAAUCAAUUGAAGUAUUCAAAGUAGAAAAAUAAACUUAUCAUUGAAGCAAUAACAACAAAUUCAAUUAAUAAUUGCACUCACAUUUCACAUAUUGCAAAUUUGAGGUGUUGAGGACGAUGGUGUGAUGCGAUGCUCUCCCUUAAAGGUAUUAGCUUUCAAUCUUUGGCUUUGAUGGCGUCGAGGAUGAUGGUGAGAUGCCAUAAGCCGAUGUCAAUGGUGAUGGUGCAAUGGGUCUCUAACUCUCUAAUGGCGCAAUGAAUCUUUAAUAGUGCGAUGUAAUGCAACCAAUGGGUCUCUCAUCUCUAGAUGGAAAGGAAUCAUGGAUCUGGUAGGUGGAAAUGAUGCUUGCCAGUGCGAUGCGAUGCAUGCCAACGGGUGGGAAGGAAUCGUGGAGGUGGAGGUGGAGGUGGAGCAGGCACUUUAACUGCAGUCUUCGGUGGACAUGCAUUGCUAGAAUAAAUUGGAGGUGGAGGUAAAGUUGGGGGACAAGGAGGCACAACUUUUGCUGGGCCAAAAUGUGGUGAUACAACUGGAGGGGGAGUAAGCUCAUUUGAAGCUAGAUCUCCAGCAGCAGCAGUAUCAGAAGAAGUCUUUACAUGGGCAUCCACAUUAGAAUACUUAGGGGAAGCACAGAACGCAAGAGCAGGUGGUGCACUAUUGUAUCUGGAUGGAGGAUUUGCUACAUGCAUUGUAAAUGGAGCUUUAUUAGGGGGUACCCAGCGAGGUACAGUAUUUGGCCUUGCUUGUUUCCCAUUAGUUCCAUGUAGCUCAGGUUGUUUGAUUUUUUGUUUCACUACGGUUGAAUCUGCAACAACAGGCUCCGUGCUCCUAGGUGAAGGUGGCACUACCUUCUCAGGUUUUUGUCUACCAACAUCAACAUUCAACUUUUGCUGUGGAAGCAUGGAUUCUAAAAUCUUUGUAGUAUUUGUUUCUCCAUUAGCUUGAUCUUUCAUCUCUUUGAAAUCUCCACUCAGAUCUUCAUCCACUUCCUUUACUGCUUUGUUUCUCGAUGCAUCAACAGCAACCAUGGAAUCUAACUUGAGAUCCCCAUCAUCAACAGCUAUGUCUUUCACUGCUUGAAGAUCAGAAUCUACCCUCUCAUCCAUCUUGUAUUUCACAUCAUCCACAGCUAUGUCCUUCACUGCAUCAACAACAAAAUCCAUCUUCCCAUCAUCUUUGUGAUUCCCACCAUCCAAUGUAUCCCUGAAGACUUCUUUAUGUUCUACGUCAACUGACAAGUUGUCAUUGUCUGUGUGAGUGUCAUAAUCCCCUUUUGCUUCUUGUGCGUCUAUCGCAUUGCUGAAUAUCUCUUCAGCCUCAAAAAAUUCCUCAGGCGAAGCAAUUUCUGCCUCAUUCCCAUCUUCAUUUAUUAUAUCUGAGGUGAGAUUAGGCACGAUAGCAGCGUGACCAUCCACAAAAAGUACCUCUGCCUUAAAGUCCUUUGGAAAUUGGUCCUUGGCAUCCCACAUAGUGUCAAUGUCAUCACGACAGAGCAUCAAAAUGUUUGCCCUAACAAAUGCUGUAUGAAACAUAACUCUAAAAAUCAUCUCCUCACGAACAAAAUCUUCAUCCAAAUGGAUGCAUUCAAGAACAACAUCCCCUUGAACAUGGCAUCGGACAUCUAUUUUCACUAGCAUACAUUCUUCCUGUAGGUAGUGUCGAACAUGUUUUUUUGUCUUUGAAGUUGAGAAUAGAAGCUUAGAAUUCCUGUUGGCUGGCUUUGAAUGAUCCUGACCAUAAACUCGUACAACUGGCCUGCAGCCCUUGCCCCCCUCGAACAAUGGAAGGGCCCUGAGCAUCAGGCAAUCUAACACCAAGGGCGUAUCAGAUGGAGGCCAAUCAGCACCAAAAUUUCUUCUAGAAAUGUACUGAAGGUAUCUUAAUUGGGAAGGUUGUGGAUUUAACAGAGACAAAAGGUGCAGAAGUUCUUUAGGAGCUUGCUUGUAGAUCAUUUCAAGAGUCUUCUGCUCCCCGUUAUACUGUUUCCGAUAUAACAAAAGACCUGCAAGCAUGAACGCAAGCACAGGCCAUCCCCCUCUUUCACAAUGCAUUAACAACACAUUUUGCUGCCCCUCUAAGGACAGCCAACUUUCACUAGAUCGAAGGAAGUGGUGGAUCAUCUCCAGUGGAAGCAUAGGACAUCCUUCAUAUUGACGAGGAUAAUCCAUGACUGUCAUGUCGUACUGAGAUAAUAUGUCUGAUAUUUGGCUACGCCUCUCCCCUUCUCUAAAGUUAAACACCAUGAAGGAAGCAUCAGGAAAAUGGUCCUGCAAUUGUGCCACAAUGCCACCCAAGUACACUUUGUACUCAUCUUCUUCCAACACAUCAGUGGAGAAGCAACAAUCAAACACAUAAACUCUCUCAGAGAUCUCAAGAAGCCGAUCCGGCGGCUUCCGGUAAAAAAAGCGUCUGAACAGCGCCAUCUGAUGGCGCUGUUUCUCCCCCGAUCGGAUCCAAACCGUUGGUUGAUAAUAGCACGGAAAAGAUGACAAUUGACGUCAAAAUCGCAGCAGAUCCCAAUAUUCUCCAACUCAACAAACCGAGAACUCAAAGAGCCUCAAAAUUCACCGAAUAUCCCUCCAACAUUCACAAAUAGCGAAAACUGAUAGAAGAAAAGCUGGUCACGUAAUCGAAGAAAUCAGGCAAAAUGAGCACUGGAAAUUAAAAAAUAUAUAUGUAUGUAUAUAAUCUCUCCAGCCAAAAUUGAGGAAGAUUAAGAAAAGCUAGAAAGCAAUCGCUAUAACAUAUUGAUGGAAUGUGAUGAAGAGAAAUUAGAUAAUUUAGAGAGAGAAAGAAGUGAAUGUGUACAGAAGGAAGUGACAGUAGAAGGAAUUGAGGUGAAAAUGAUGACAGAAUUUUUUUUGGAAGGAAAAUUGAGAAAUUUUUCUUAUUAGAAAUAGGAUCAACCAAAAUCAGAUGGAGAGAGAGAGAAAGAGAAAGGGAACAGACAGAAA
rnacentral:misc_RNA from 1 species